rnacentral:rRNA from 1 species
GACGAACGCUGGCGGCGUGCUUAACACAUGCAAGUCGAACGGAAAGGCCUGCUUUCCCUUGUGGAUUGCGGGUACUCGAGUGGCGAACGGGUGAGUAACACGUGAGUGAUCUGCCCCCAACUUGGGUAUAAGCAUGGGAAACUGGGUCUAAUUCCCGAUAGGACUGCAGGGUGGUGCCUGUGGUGGAAAACGAUUUUCUAGUGGUUGGGGAUGAGCUCGCGGCCUAUCAGCUUGUUGGUGGGGUAAUGGCCUACCAAGGCGGCGACGGGUAGCCGGCCUGGGAGGGUGGACGGCCACAUUGAGACUGAGAUACGGCCCAGACUCGUACGAGAGGCAGCAGUGGGGAAUAUUGCACAAUGUGCGGAAGCCUGAUGCAGCGACGCCGCGUGGAGGAUGUCGGCCUUCGGGUUGUAAACUCCUUUCGACCGCGAGGAAGCCACCUGGUUGGAAGGGUGGUGACGGUAGUGGUAGAAGAAGCACCGGCUAACUACGUG